UUUGGUGGCGAUAGCGAAGAGGUCACACCCGUUCCCAUGCCGAACACGGAAUUUAAGCUCUUCAGCGCCGAUG
rnacentral:rRNA from 1 species